AGUGAACGCUGGCGGUAGGCCUAACACAUGCAAGUCGAACGGCAGCACAGUAAGAGCUUGCUCUUACGGGUGGCGAGUGGCGGACGGGUGAGGAAUACAUCGUAAUCUACUUUUUCGUGGGGGAUAACGUAGGGAAACUUACGCUCAUACCGCAUACGACCUACGGUUGAAAGCAUUGGAUCUUCUGACCUUGCGCGAUUGAAUGGGCCGAUGUCGGAUUAGCUAGUUGGCGGGGUAAAGGCCCACCAAGGCGACGAUCCGUAGCUGGUCUGAGAGGAUGAUCAGCGACACUGGAACGGAGACACGGUCAAGAGUACUACGGGAGGCAGCAGAGGGGAAUAUUGGACAAUGGGCGCAAGCAUGAUCCAGCCAGACCGCGUGGGUGAAGAAGGCCUUCGGGUUGUAAAGACCCUUUGUUGGGAAAGAAAAGCAGCAGGUUAAUACCACGCUGUUCUGACGGUACCCAAAGAAUAAGCACCGGCUAACUUCGUG
rnacentral:rRNA from 1 species